AGCUUUGCGCAGUGACAGUAUCAUAGUAAAUGAGGUUUAUCCAAGGAGCAAUUAUUGAUAAUUGAAAACUUAAAAUAAUGUUUCUCACUGUAAACCUCAAGUUUCUAUUUCCUGUGUUAAAAUUAUAAGCACCUAUAUAAAUAU
rnacentral:snRNA from 1 species